AGCGAACGCUGGCGGCAGGCUUAACACAUGCAAGUCGAGCGGGCGUAGCAAUACGUCAGCGGCAGACGGGUGAGUAACGCGUGGGAACGUACCUUUUGGUCGGAACAACCCAGGGAAACUUGGGCUAAUACCGGAUAAGCCCUUACGGGGAAAGAUUUAUCGCCGAAAGAUCGGCCCGCGUCUGAUUAGCUAGUUGGUGGGGUAAUGGCCCACCAAGCCAGCGAUCGGUAGCUGGUCUGAGA
rnacentral:rRNA from 1 species